GGGGGGCGGUUAGAGGGUUGGCAGAAUGCUGUUUCAAAAUAAGAGGGAAAAAUGAAGAAUUCUUUUUUGGAGGGUCGGGAGUGAGGUAUUUUAUUUUAAAGACGACUUCAGACUAGUCGGGAGCGACUCAGAGUCUCUGGGUUGGUGUGUUCUCAGCAGUCGCCAUGCCUGUGACACAGACACCCCAAGCUUUAAGGGGUCCGUGGAGGAUCUGUCCCCCAACCCCCGCCGCCAACUUGUUCUCAGAUGACCUUUUGGGACCUCCGUUUUGAAAGUGUCCCCGCCCCAGUCCCCCAGCUAUGUUUCCUAAGUCUCCUCUGGGAACGAAUUUGGGAGAAUAAAGCUGUAGCUGGCUGGCCUACUUCCGCACAGCUUGGCUGGUGUCUGUCGGCGGAGGCAGGGUGUGCCAGUGGUGGCAGCCAGGCUCAGGCUCCCGACGUGGGAGUUGGGAAAGAGACAAAGACGGGAGCUGUCCGCGGUGCUGAAGCCGCGCAGAAGGGCUCCUGUAACCAAUCGUGCCUCUCUUAGAGCCUCUCGCCUUCUAAUCUCAUCUUUGCUCUGGGUCUCCCCUGUGUUCAUGUCAUUUUUGUGAGGGCUUCUUCUUCGAAUCAAUGUCUUUAAUGGAAGUCUUUCUAUCUAUCUAUCUAUCUAUCUAUCUAUCUAUCUAUCUAUCUAUCUAUCUCCUAUCUGUCCACCCACCUUGAAGAACAAAUCGGCUGAUUAAAAGCAAUUUCUUCUUUCUAUCCCAAAUACGGGACAAGAGAGAGGUUUCUUUUAAUAACACUCAAAAGCAGCUGUUUUAGCCCCCCUCCACUCCCUGAAAAGAUGUGGAAGUGUUUAUUUAAAACAAUAAAUCCCAAACACAACGAACA